rnacentral:rRNA from 1 species
GACGUAGGGGGCGAGCGUUGUCCGGAUUUAUUGGGCGUAAAGCGUGCGUAGGCGGCUGCGCAAGUCGGGUGUGAAACCCCGGGGCUCAACCCCGGAACUGCAUCCGAUACUGCGUGGCUAGGGGUAGGUAGGGGAGAUCGGAAUUCCUGGUGUAGCGGUGAAAUGCGCAGAUAUCAGGAGGAACACCGGUGGCGAAGGCGGAUCUCUGGGCCUUACCUGACGCUCAGGCACGAAAGCUAGGGGAGCGAACAGG